rnacentral:rRNA from 1 species
GACGAACCGGGCAAACGUUAUUCGGAAUCACUGGGCUUAAAGGGUGCGUAGGCGGCCCUGUAAGUUGGGUGUGAAAUCCCUCGGCUCAACCGAGGAAUUGCGCCCAAAACUACAGGGCUUGAGGGAGACAGAGGUGAGCGGAACUGAUGGUGGAGCGGUGAAAUGCGUUGAUAUCAUCAGGAACACCAGUGGCGAAGGCGGCUCACUGGGUCUCUUCUGACGCUGAGGCACGAAAGCUAGGGGAGCAAACGGG